CAGUCGCCGCGGUAAUACGGAGGGUGCAAGCGUUAAUCGGAAUUACUGGGCGUAAAGCGUGCGUAGGCGGUUUGUUAAGUCUGUUGUGAAAUCCCCGGGCUCAACCUGGGAAUGGCAAUGGAUACUGGCAAGCUAGAGUGUGUCAGAGGAUGGUGGAAUUCCCGGUGUAGCGGUGAAAUGCGUAGAGAUCGGGAGGAACAUCAGUGGCGAAGGCGGCCAUCUGGGCUAACACUGACGCUGAGGCACGAAAGCGUGGGGAGCAAACAGGAUUAGAUACCCCGGUAGUCCCUGUCUCUUAUAC
rnacentral:rRNA from 1 species